UUUACCAUAGCUUAAAGUAAAGUGUAGCUUUGAAGAGGCUAAGAUGUUAGGUAGAG
rnacentral:tRNA from 1 species